GACGUAGGGGGCCAGCGUUGCUCGGAAUUACUGGGCGUAAAGGGUCCGUAGGCGGUGCGGUAAGUCGGGAGUGAAAUCUCUGGGCUUAACUCAGAGGCUGCUUCCGAAACUACCGUGCUAGAGUGCGAGAGAGGCAAGUGGAAUUGCGGGUGUAGCGGUGAAAUGCGUAGAUAUCCGCAGGAACAUCCGAGGCGAAAGCGGCUUGCUGGAUCGCAACUGACGCUGAGGGACGAAAGUUAGGGGAGCAAACAGG
rnacentral:rRNA from 1 species